UACAGAGGUCCCAAGCGUUGUUCGGAUUCACUGGGCGUAAAGGGUGCGUAGGCGGUCGGGUAAGUCUGAUGUGAAAUCUCACAGCUUAACUGUGAAACUGCAUUGGAUACUAUCCGGCUCGAGGAAUGGAGGGGAGACUGGAAUACUUGGUGUAGCAGUGAAAUGCGUAGAUAUCAAGUGGAACACCAGUGGCGAAGGCGGCUAUCUGGACGGUUUCUGACGCUAAGACGCGAAAGCGUGGGGAGCGAACAGG
rnacentral:rRNA from 1 species